rnacentral:rRNA from 1 species
UUGGAGGGCAAGUCUGGUGCCAGCAGCCGCGGUGAUUCCAGCUCCAAUAGCGUAUAUUAAAGUUGCUGCAGUUAAAAAGCUCGUAGUUGAAUUUCGGGACUAAUAUGUCGGUCGUGCCUCGGUACGUACUGGCUUAUUGGUUUCUCCUUUCUGAAGAACCAUGAUGUCAUUUAUUUGGUGUCGUGGGGAAUCAGGACUGUUACUUUGAAAAAAUUAGAGUGUUUAAAGCAGGCUCACGCUUGAAUACAUUAGCAUGGAAUAAUGAAAUAGGACGUUUGAUUCUAUUUUGUUGGUUUCUAGGAUCGACGUAAUGAUUAAUAGGGAUAGUUGGGGGCAUUAGUAUUCAAUUGUCAGAGGUGAAAUUCUUGGAUUUAUUGAAGACUAACUACUGCGAAAGCAUUUGCCAAGGAUGUUUUCAUUAAUCAAGAACGAAAGUUAGGGGAUCGAAGACGAUCAGAUACCGUCGUAGUCUUAACCAUAAACUAUGCCGACUAGGGAUCGGAUGAUGUUAAUUUUUUAAUGACUCAUUCGGCGCCUUACGGGAAAC